UUAGGAUGAACCAUUCUGAGGACCUUCCAACUUGUCUAGUAUGUGGUUAUUUUCAUAUGAAAAGCCAAAUAGAAUUUAAAAAAAAAAUUAAUUAAAGAAGUUGUAUCAGUUGUACCAGUAUUUCAUGCAUGGUAUAUAAAAAGUAAUUGUAAUAGUUUUACUAGUAUUACAAUAUAUAGUUAUACUAGUUAUACCAGUAUUACAGCACAGAAACAUAAAUAGUAUGUUAUAUGAAGUUUUACCAGUAGUAUCUAAUAGAAAAAACACAUUACAAAUUUUGUCAAUUACAAAGUUUAAAACACACAUAGAUAGCAUCUCUAACCCAUAACUAAGUUCCACAACACAUAAGCAAGUUC
rnacentral:lncRNA from 1 species